UACGUAGGUGACAAGCGUUGUCCGGAUUUACUGGGCGUAAAGAGCGCGCAGGCGGUCGUUCAAGUCGAGUGUGAAAGCCCCCGGCUCAACUGGGGAGGGUCAUUCGAUACUGAUCGACUCGAAGGCAGGAGAGGGAAGUGGAAUUCCCGGUGUAGUGGUGAAAUGCGUAGAUAUCGGGAGGAACACCAGUGGCGAAGGCGACUCCUGGCCUGUUCUUGACGCUGAGGCGCGAAAGCUAGGGGAGCAAACGGGG
rnacentral:rRNA from 1 species